rnacentral:rRNA from 1 species
UACGGAGGGUGCGAGCGUUGUCCGGAAUCACUGGGCGUAAAGGGCGCGUAGGCGGCUUGGGAAGUCCGUGGUGAAAGCUCGAGGCUCAACUUCGAGUCGGCCAAGGAUACUCCUAAGCUCGAGUCGACUAGAGGCAGAUGGAAUUCCGGGUGUAGCGGUGGAAUGCGUAGAGAUCCGGAAGAACACCGGUGGCGAAGGCACUUUACUGGGCUAUUACUAACACUCAGAGACGAAAGCUAGGGUAGCAAAUGGG